AGAGUUUGAUCCUGGCUCAGAACGAACGCUGGCGGCGUGGCUAAGGCAUGCAAGUCGUACGAGAAAGUCUCCUUCGGGAGGCGAGUAAAGUGGCGGAAGGGUUAGUAAUGCAUAGAUAACCUAUCCUCGGCUCCGGGAUAACCUUCCUAACGGAGGGCUAAUACCGGCAAAGGACAUCUCUGGAUCACCUGGUUCGGGGAUUAAAGGAGGGGAUCCUUCGGGACCUUCCGGCUGAGGCGGGGUUUAUGUCCUAUUAGCUUGUUGGUGGGGUAACGGCCUACCAAGGCUCCGAUGGGUAGCCGGCCUGAGAGGGCGACCGGCAACACUGGGACUGAGGCACUGCCCAGACUCCUACGGGAGGCUGCAGUCGAGAAUCUUUCGCAAUGCCCGAAAGGGUGACGAAGCGACGCCGCGUGGACGAUGAAGGCCUUCGGGUUGUAAAGUCCUGUCAGGUGAGAAGAAAAACAUAGAGACGAAUAAUCUCUAUGUCUGACGCUAUCAUCAGAGGAAGCACCAGCAAACUUCGUGCCAGCAGCUGCGGUAAUACGAAGGGUGCGAGCGUUGUUCGGAUUCACUGGGCUUAAAGGGCACGUAGGCGGGGAGAUAAAUCAGGAGUGAAAGCCCGACGCUCAACGUCGGAAAGUCUCUUGAAAAUGUCUCUCUUGAGUGCAGGAGGGGAGAGUGGAACUCUUGGUGGAGCGGUGAAAUGCGUAGAUAUCAAGGGGAACGCCGGCGGCGAAAGCGGCUCUCUGGUCUGCUACUGACGCUGAGGUGCGAAAGCUAGGGGAGCAAACAGGAUUAGAUACCCUGGUAGUCCACGCCGUAAACGAUGGGUACUAGGUGUUGGUUCUUUAUGGAUCGGCGCCGAAGCUAACGCAUUAAGUACCCCGCCUGGGGAGUACGAUCGCAAGAUUGAAACUCAAAGGAAUUGACGGGGGCCCGCACAAGCGGUGGAGCAUGUGGUUUAAUUCGAUGCAACGCGAAGAACCUUACCUGGGCUUGAACCGCAGAUGACAACCCCUGAAAGGGGGCCUUCCUUCGGGACAUCUGUAGAGGUGCUGCAUGGCUGUCGUCAGCUCGUGCCGUGAGGUGUUGGGUUAAGUCCCGCAACGAGCGCAACCCUUGCCCUUAGUUGCCAUCAGGUUAUGCUGGGAACUCUAAGGGGACUGCCCCGGAUAACGGGGAGGAAGGUGGGGAUGACGUCAAGUCCUCAUGGCCCUUACGUCCAGGGCUACACACGUGCUACAAUGGCCGGUACAACGGGCAGCAAUACCGCGAGGUGGAGCAAAUCCCUUAAAACCGGUCUCAGUUCGGAUUGUAGUCUGCAACUCGACUGCAUGAAGGCGGAAUCGCUAGUAAUCGCGGAUCAGCAUGCCGCGGUGAAUACGUUCCCGGGCCUUGUACACACCGCCCGUCACGCCAUGGAAGUCGGUAGCGCCCGAAGCCGGUGGCCUAACCUUCGGGAAGGAGCCGUCGAAGGUGAGACCGAUAACUGGAGCGAAGUCGUAACAAGGUA
rnacentral:rRNA from 1 species